CCCCCCCCCCCAUCAAGAAAUUAACCUAACAAGGAAGACGUUGGUCCGCGUUUCACCAAAUACAAACAUUGUAGGUAGCGUGCGGCCGCUACCUAUUUAGCGGCGGCGAACGUCAGCCCGCAAGCCACCUGUGACUGUCACUGCCGAGCUGCAUCGUCCACCGAUGACCGCUUCUCUCAACUUCGCUGGCGGCAUCUCAGAACAUUCACAGAGGGCGUCGCUCCCCACUGGCUCCACAAACCUGGGCCACCAACGUUGAACGCCGGCUGAUUUAUCAUCCUGGCGUAGGACGAAUGGAGACCGCUGUCUCGACCGCGCUCCAAUGGAGCGUGCUGGUAGCGUGCGGACCUAGGGCUCCGUGUGGACAAGACCUCCCUCGACGCUCUCCCAUGUGUCCCGCUUGUGCCGCGUGUUGUUCGGCAAAUUGUCCGACGUUUCGCUCAGCCUGCUGGGAAGGGCUUCUCGAGCGGCUCGGGAAAGCACGCUGCUCCAGUCGGCUCCUGCAGAGGUUCCCAGCGCGUGGCGUGAAACGGCGGACAGCAUCCCGGACCAUACGCAGUACAAUCCGACGACACAGUGGACAUCUACAGAGGCACAGCCGCAGCAAAACAACAACAACAACACGUGCUAACCGCUCCUGAUGAGUGCCGUUCAGAAGGAGGGGGUGAGGAGGGGGGGAGAGGAGGGCUAUCGGGGCUGGUGGAGGAUGUUCGCACCUGAUAAGAACAGACAAUUAUCGCUCAUUGCGCCUCCAUCACAACCACGCACGUUUUUUUUUAAUUAGCGAGUCGAUGCGCAUACAUUUUGAAACGAUUGUCGAGUCGAAUGGGCAGCAGAGGUGGGGGUGCAAUCCUGCAAAUGCUUGCUCACGCCACUGCUGGCGGAAGGAACUCCAGUAGAGGGAGUUUUAGAGAGACGGCCCUCGCUGGAGCGAGGGUAUUUCACCGACCCUUCUUCCACGUUCGACAAGAUGUGGCCGGAGAGCGAACCCGGAGAAAACCCACGGAUGUGUCGAGAUGACGCAACAAACUCCACACAGAUGGAUUCGAUCUGAAAAUUCGGUCCGUCCAGUCUACGUGAACCAAACCCUGUCCUGUGCUGCCAUCUACUGCCCCAUGAUGGAGUCUGAUGAGCUGGAGUCGCUGCUCAUAGGCAGACCCAAGAUGCGACGAGAGUCGGGAGGCACGAAUGUGACUUUGCUCGUCUUCGGCAGCAGGAAAAGGGAUAUGAACUGCUACAGCUGCUAUUUUUAUUUCACCAGGUGAGGCCCACUGAGCUAUGUAGCUCUUUCAGAAGCAACCUGGCCACAAAUGAUAGCUCAACGAAGUGGCUUAUCACGUGGAAAUGUAUAGCAGCCAAAUUCUCUAAAAGCAUGGUGAUUCUAAAUGUGGAGAGAAUGACCGGAGGACCCGGAGAACAAUCGAACCCACGACGUCCUGUAUACCAGGUGAAGUAGUUAACAUCUCGACACCGUGGCGUCCCCGAGGCUGGAAGCGUGCGAUACCCGGGCAAGUGGGCAGCUGGAGUGCCACCGGACUGGAUUCCUGCUCAGUAAGAUUUGGGCUAGAAGAAGACGCACAUAUGUACCGUACGGUGAGCCUCUUUCGCGCCGCACAUUCCCCACCGCGCUAAUCGGAGGUGCGGGGGAAGGACGGAAUGCGUCGAUUGUCGGAACCGGGUGCGGAUCUGCUGGUGCCACGCGAAAGCCCCCGGGGGCACUGGAGCAGCGCGCAUCCACGCGGAGGCUCGAGAGCGCUUCGCGGAUUGCGGCGCUCAUUCUGGGGUUCAGCCUGGACUUGAAAUAGGAAGAAAUUACUGGGGAAGCUUAUACAUGAUUCCACCCCACUCCCUACUAGUGUGUGGGUUUCUGUGUGUGUGGGUUUCCGUGCGUGUCUGUGGACUUCUCUGUUAGUCUUGUGGUCUAUCUUUGAGUCAAAUACAUUUUAAAAAGAUGAAUGCUUGAUUACUUCCGGAAGGUAGUCUGGUUCAGAUUUUCACUCCCACCACGGCGUUCCGAGGCGUUCCAGACCCAUUUUCACCACUGGUUCCAGCUGAACACAGAGAGGCUAGCGCAGAAGAGGAAAUCAUCAGAAGCGACACAUCCCUUUACACAAUCUAGCGCUACAAUAAUGUACAGCAAAAAAUAUAUUGCAGGGUCUCAGGGUUUGCAGGUAUGGGAAAUUAAGUACCGGAUAGCAUUUUCAUCCUGUUUACUUGUCCAUACACAUACAUGUAGUGUAGAGUUAAAUUGCGACGGAGAUGAGUAUCUCCUUAUGCUCUCAGUUGGUUGAAUUAGUCUGAAAUUGGUUCACAACGUUUCCACAUUGAUACGGUUUGAUGCAAUGAUUGAACACACGACAGGACUGGUCCAAAGAUAGCAGCUUGAGUGGGUUACGCAGAGGCAUCUGCUGGAGGCAUGCACGCAAGUGUCGGAUUAUCCGAGUAGCAAAUGUAGCUACGGGCCCCGCACUUUCAAGGGCCCCGCGCUAAAUGCUUUCAAGCUAUCAAUUCCGGGUCAGUGAUUCUGCACUUGCUC